ensembl:lncRNA
UUCCUGUAUUUGUGGGGCUGAUGGAUAGCUGGGAAAGCAGCUGCACAUAUGUGAUUGAAUUUUACCUGCUCAGCAGCUUUGUGACUUCGGACAAUGUACUCAUUUUCCAGAUGAGGAAACUGAGUCCCCUAGAGGGUGAGAUGUUGGCUCAGCUACCUGGUGACCAAGCUCAUCUUACACUCAAAUGUGAGGUCUGACUCCAGGUGCACCCUGGCUCUCACCCCAUCGUCAGCACUGGGUGCAGAGCCCAUUCAUAGAGACACAGAGAGGGCGGACACAGAACCCAUGAGCAGGAGCUUGUGGGUCRAGUGCUGGCUUUGGAAGCAAGACCCCUGGCUCUAGUUCCAGCUCUGCCAGGUAUGGACUAAGRACAAUCACCUCUUUGGGAAUCCGUUUCCCUAAUGGGCGAAUGAGAAGGCUGCAGGAAGAGUUCAUCUCGCUGAUCCAGAGAACUGGAGUUGGGGACUUGGCUCUUCGGCACUCGCUUCUCUAGGUCCCAGUCCUACCAGGCCUGCCUCCGCAUCCUCCAACCCCCCCUCCAUCCCAGUGACUUCCAGCGCCUGGACUUUUCUCUCCCAACGAACCCAACCUGUGCUCAGUAGAAUAACCUGAGGGGCAUGUUAAACAGCUGAGUCCCGGGCUCCACCCCAGAACCGACUGAAUGCAUCCCUGAGAGACGAGGCCCAGGAACCUGUCUUCCCUCAGACAUCCCCAGGAGAUUCCCAUGACCAGCCAGAUAUGUCCGUCGUUGCCGAAGUUCAGGGGCUCUCAGACCCUGGUCUCCACACACUGGCUGCUCUCGGAGCUGAGCUGGAAGGAGGUUCCCAGGAUGUAAGCCACACGAGAUGGGAAGUCCAGCAGAACCUCUGGGCUGAUAAAGCGGACACUCUGUCUUUGAAGAACGAAGAGAACUUCUGGGCCACGGACCACCUCGCCAGCGACUCCAAGUGGAACUGUGUAGCCCAUGUGUGCCUGGAGGGCACGGGAACCCCAGCCACCUAGCGCACCUCCCAGAGGGCCGGUGGGAACUGUCAAUAGUGCCAAAGUCCUACACUGCAUUUUCAAUGGGUCCCUGUACAUAGUUUGCUCCGCUGCCCAGGCCCCCACCUCUUGCUAUACUGGAACUGAUUUGUACAAUGUGGGAACUUUGUUACCUUUUUAAUGGAGGGCCACUUCCUUUCCCAGCACUUCCAUUGUAAGGCUUUUUUCCAGGAAGGGGGACUAACCACAUUACUUUUCCCUUUUUUUUCUCUUUUUCUGUUUUUAUUUUUAUUUUAUUAACUGGGGGAGGGAGAAUUAGUAUUAGUGCCAUUAUAUCUACUGGAUUUUAGGUAGGGAGAAUUUAUCUUUAAAUAAUGGUAGUUUGAAAUUUGGAAGAUUUCUUGGUAGGAAGAACUGAGGUUGGGUCUCUGUCUCAGCUCCAAGUGGGCUUCAGAUGUCAGAUCUUCCAUAUCUAACCCAUUUCCAGUUCUUCCCGGCUGCCUCGGGUCCCUGCCUUGAGUCACACGCAGGCCUUUUGAACUGCCAGGAGGCGGGAGUCUGACUUCUCAACCCCUUGGCCUCGCUGAGAGACUGGAUAGCAGGUGGCUGUCCUCUUUAAGCACCUUUUUUAAAUACCAGCAGAAAGGGCUCUCAUGAUUGUUAACAUCACCAUUACACUUACAAAAUUAAAAAAAAAAAAUGAUCUUCCUCUCUAUAUGGUACAGAGAUGAGAAGCUUUGGUUUUCAUUUCUCUUCUCAACUGCCUUUUUGGGUGUGGUGUUUGACAAGAUUUCAGCUUGAAGACUCACCAUGAAUUGAUUUUGUGUGUGUGUGUGUGUGUGUGUUGGGCCAAUUUUAGAUAUCUUUGAGUGCACUUUGGUUUUGUUUUGGUUUUUUGUUUUUGUUUUUUUUGUUUUUUGUUUUUUGUUAGUCCUAACUUUUAAAAGAAAACCAAGAGACAUAUCCGGUGUAAAUGUUGCAAUAUGAAUUAUGUUUGCCAUCCCUUUUCUGCUCUCCCACCCCCUCCCCAUUCAAGUACACUGCACAAAUAAAAUGCUAGGGAGUUUGAAUCA